GACCGCGUAGCUCUGUUGGUAGAGCAUUGGGCUAGUAUUCCAAAGGUCGUAGGUUCGAUUCCCGCCGUGGUCA
rnacentral:tRNA from 1 species